rnacentral:tRNA from 1 species
UCUUAGAUGACUGAGGUAUAAGUGCUAGACUUUUAAUCUAGUUACGGCUAAUACGUAGCCUCUAAGAG